rnacentral:rRNA from 1 species
UUAGUAGCGGCGAGUGAAGCGGCAAAAGCUCAAAUUUGAAAUCUGGCACUUUCAGUGUCCGAGUUGUAAUUUGAAGAAGGUAUCUUUGGGUCUGGCUCUGUCUAUGUUUCUUGGAACAGAACGUCACAGAGGGUGAGAAUCCCGUGCGAUGAGAUGUCCCAGACCUAUGUAAAGUUCCUUCGAAGAGUCGAGUUGUUUGGGAAUGCAGCUCUAAGUGGGUGGUAAAUUCCAUCUAAAGCUAAAUAUUGGCGAGAGACCGAUAGCGAACAAGUACAGUGAUGGAAAGAUGAAAAGAACUUUGAAAAGAGAGUGAAAAAGUACGUGAAAUUGUUGAAAGGGAAGGGCUUGAGAUCAGACUUGGUAUUUUGUAUGUUACUCUCUCGGGGGUGGCCUCUACAGUUUACCGGGCCAGCAUCAGUUUGAGCGGUAGGAUAAGUGCAAAGAAAUGUGGCACUGCUUCGGUAGUGUGUUAUAGUCUUUGUCGAUACUGCCAGCUUAGACUGAGGACUGCGGCUUCGGCCUAGGAUGUUGGCAUAAUGAUCUUAAGUCGCCCGUCUUGAAACACGGACCAAGGAGUCUAACGUCUAUGCGAGUGUUUGGGUGUAAAACCCGUACGCGUAAUGAAAGUGAACGUAGGUAGGACCUCCUUUAGGAGUGCACUAUCGACCGAUCCUGAUGUCUUCGGAUGGAUUUGAGUAAGAGCAUAGCUGUUGGGACCCGAAAGAUGGUGAACUAUGCCUGAAUAGGGUGAAGCCAGAGGAAACUCUGGUGGAGGCUCGUAGCGGUUCUGACGUGCAAAUCGAUCGUCGAAUUUGGGUAUAGGGGCGAAAG